rnacentral:misc_RNA from 1 species
UUUCCGUAGGUGAACCUGCGGAAGGAUCAUUAUUGUAUAACCGAGGUGCUAGGGCUGUCGCUGACCCUAAAGCUCGUGCACGCCCGAGUGCCCUCCCACACCUCCAUCUCACCCCUCUUUGCACCACCGCGUCGGUCCCCCUUUUGCUUUUUCGUAGGCUGGCUUACGUUUUCACACAAACUUUUUAUGCAUUUUAGAUUGUAUUUUUUGUUUUUAACAUCCCUCACUCAAUACAACUAUCAACAACUGCUCUCUUGCCUCUCGCAUCGACGAAGCACG